GAUGAAGAACGCAGCGAAAUGCGAUAAGUAAUGUGAAUUGCAGAAUUCAGUGAAUCAUCGAAUCUUUGAACGCACCUUGCACCCUUUGGCAUUCUGAAGGGUAUGCUCGUUUGAGUGUCAUUGUACUCUCACACUCCCGAUCUUUGCAUUGGGAGCAGUGGACUUGGGUUUGCUGCUUCACCGUCGCUUACCUCAAAUAGGUUAGUGCAACUCUUGGUUGGACAUAGUACGGCGUGAUAAGUGUUCUUCGCCGGUGCCUCGCAAAGAGGGUGGCCGAUCGGGAUGUUGUGCUCCAAACCGUCUUCGGACAAUCUCUGACGACUUGACCUCAAAUCGAGUAAGACUACCCGCUGAACUUAAGCAUAUCAAUAAGCGGAGGAA
rnacentral:misc_RNA from 1 species